UGAAUCUAGGCCCGAUCAUAUGGACCUAAGUCAUUGAACCUCAACCCAUCCGUAUUAAAUCAACACUUUGACUCUAAACCCAUUUAACCCAAUCUAAUCUAAACCCAUUAACCUUAACCUCACUCAAAAUCCAUUAACCGUUACCUAUAACCCAAUCCUAUAACCUAAUCCAAUUAAACCUUAGCCCAAUUCUAAACCCAUAACCUAUAACCCAAUCCAAUUAAAUCUAGGCCUAGUCCAAAGCCCAGAGCCCAUUUACAAAUGGCCCCAGUCCAAAACCCAUUUGGGCCCACUAUCUAAGCCCAUUAUCCAAAACUCAUUAAAACCAUUAACCCAUAAACCCAUAUACAUAAACCUAUAUACAUUUACCCAUGAACCCAUACACAUUUAACCCAUAUCCAAGCCCAUAACCUUAACCAAGUCCAUGAACUUUGAACCAAAACCAUGGACCAAACCAUACACCAAAUCCUGUGGACCAUACCAUACACCAAAUCCACGAACUAUGAAUCAAGUUCAUGAAUCAAAUCAAGUUCAUGAGCCAUGGAUCAUAAACCACAAACCAUACACCAAGUUCAUGAACCAUAAACCCAUGAACCAUAAGUCCAUGAACCAUAAACCCAUGAACCAUAAGUCCAUGAACCAUAAACCCAUGAACCAUAAGUCCAUGAACCAUAAACCCAUGAACCAUAUCUAAGUUCAUGAACCAUAAUCCCAUAUACCCAAUACCAUAAACCUUGUGAACCAAACCCAAACCAUCGACCGAAACGUCGUUAAACUAAUCCACCAAAUCAAUCGACCGAAACGUCGUUAAACUAAACCUAAAUCCGAUAUCGACCGAAAUGUCGUUAAACUAAACUCAAGUUCAAUUUUCACGAACAUCCCAAUUCCCAAAAUAUUCGAUUCUCUAGCAUAUAAAACUAGAGUCAAAUCACAAUCAUGUUCAAACUUGAUCAAAUUCUAAACCUAUAUUUAGAAUUGAUCAAACCAUCUGAUCAAAUUAAUUUGUUGGAUUCCAAUACAUACACUUG
rnacentral:lncRNA from 1 species